rnacentral:piRNA from 1 species
UAUGAACAUCCACUUCUGUAUAUACCAGG